rnacentral:rRNA from 1 species
UACGAAGGGGGCUAGCGUUACUCGGAUUGACUGGGCGUAAAGGGCGCGUAGGCGGCUUGUACAGUCAGACGUGAAAUUCCUGGGCUCAACCUGGGGGCUGCGUUUGAUACGUGCGGACUUGAGUGCGGAAGAGGGUCGUGGAAUUCCCAGUGUAGAGGUGAAAUUCGUAGAUAUUGGGAAGAACACCGGCGGCGAAGGCGGCACUCUGGGCCGGUACUGACGCUGAGGAGCGAAAGCGUGGGGAGCAAACAGG